AUUAAAUUAUAGCUUCAAAUGGUCUGUAUGAUGCUGGUGCGAUUCCCAGCAUUCGAGCUGCGGAAAUCUACGGGCUUAAUGUACUUGCAGAACAAAUUCAAGAAUUUGCCACAUUUCUUCGGGUGUUGGGCUGCUAUCCCAUAGAUACAACCAUAUAGAUAGCUAUCUUGUGUGCUGACGUAGGUCCUUCAAUCAAUGAUUCAAAUGGGUGUUCUUGUGCCAACUGGAGAUAUGAAUCUUGUUAAACGGCCAACAUAGUUCUUCCUCAACAGGAUAUGGAACCAUGAGGAGGCUACACUGCUUAACACUUUUGGUAAUCAUCAUUUUCCCGACAGAGGAAUUUCUAAGCUCUGCCUUGUAAAUGAGCUUGAUGAUAGCUUGCUUCUUGAUGCUUCAUUUGAUGGAAACAUUCAGAUUUGGAAGGACUAUCUCCUGAAGGGUAAACAAAAACUUGUCAUUGCAUUCUCUUCAAUUCAUGGACAUAAACCAGGUGUGAGGAGUCUGAGUGCAGUUGUUGAUUGGCAACAACAAUGUGAUUAUCCAUAUGCAUCGGGUGAGAUAUCAUCUAUUAUGCUAUGGGAUGUUGAUAAAGAGCAGCUUGUUAAUUCUAAAUCUUCAUCAUCAGAUUGCAGUGUCUCAGUGUUGAUGACUAGGUGAAUUACUUUAAAGAAUCUCGUGCUAGAGGACGCUAAGACAUAAUGCUUUGAUAGGAUGUGACAUUGAGGUCUUCUCCUUCGACGAGCAACAGCCACGAAGACGAAGACGACCUCUCCCAGAGCGAAGCAAGAUCCUCCUCCUUCCAAUCCACCGUACUCCGUUCCCGUCUACGGGAGGCAGAACGAAGAUGUUUACGGAGAGAGAGUGCUUGCCUACGAUGGCGGGAAGGUGGAACUGUACGGUGCCCGAGGCUCGGUGCCGAAAUCGUCUUCCACUUGGUCAAGUUUUGACGAUUACGGGAGGGCCAUCGGUGGUGGUGGUGGUGCUCCUCCCCCUGCGACGGCGACGAGCAAGGUUGUUAAAGCGAUGCCGAAGGUGGACGCCGAGGGAGACACGAAGAGCGGAGUGCAGAAGUUUCGGGUGAAGCUAUUGGCAGAAAGUGGUGGUCAGAUCACUAUUGAUGUUCUCUGACAGGUAUGUAUGAAUUAUGAACAUAGUAAUUAAUAGCAUUUAUACUUUGUAACUACCAUUAUGAAGUUUUGGUGUUCUGCUAUUUGAAUUGUGAAUUUGCAUGGUUUAACUAACUUCUCUUUUUGUUGAUUAUUCUGUCUAGCUUGCUAUGCGAGAAGCUUGUAAAUAUGUAGAAGAAAAAAU